ACGUAGGGUGCGAGCGUUGUCCGGAUUUAUUGGGCGUAAAGAGCUCGUAGGCGGCUCGUCGCGUCGACCGUGAAAACCCGCAGCUUAACUGCGGGCUUGCGGUUGAUACGGGCGGGCUAGAGUUCGGUAGGGGAGACUGGAAUUCCCGGUGUAGCGGUGAAAUGUGUAGAGAUCGGGAGGAACACCGGUGGCGAAGGCGGGUCUCUGGGCAUUUCCUGACGCUGAGGCGCGAAAGCGUGGGGAGCAAACGGGA
rnacentral:rRNA from 1 species